UACGGAGGGGGCUAGCGUUGUUCGGAAUUACUGGGCGUAAAGCGCGCGUAGGCGGACCUGCAAGUCGGGGGUGAAAGCCCGAGGCUCAACCUCGGAACUGCCUUCGAUACUGCGGGUCUCGAGUCCGGGAGAGGUGAGUGGAAUUCCUAGUGUAGAGGUGAAAUUCGUAGAUAUUCGCAAGAACACCAGUGGCGAAGGCGGCUCAGCUGGCC
rnacentral:rRNA from 1 species